AAUUCAACUACACGGGUAAGAAUCAGUCUAAGGCAUGGGAUGUUUCCCCUGUCCAUCCUGUGUUUAGAAACACCACUGCAUGGUGUAAUUAUACGUCAACAAACCUAUCUAAAUCUGGUCAAGUUCCCCUAUCCUUACCACCAGGAAUAUUCCUUAUUUGCGGGGACCAAGCAUGGACCACAAUCCCCUCUCAUAUUAAAGGAGGUCCAUGUAGCAUUGGACGCCUCUCUGUCUUAACUCCUAAUACCUCUGCGAUUUUACAAUAUCAUCUUUCUCAUAGAACAAAGCGCAGUAUUCAUGCAUAUACCCCCGAUUGUGAUGAUAAUCUAGAUUUUUGGACUUUUAGUAAACGCUUUUCUGCCUCUCUCUUGUUACCUAGCGUGGCCGCUGGAAAGGCCUUGGCAACUCUGGAUAAACUUGGCUGUUGGCUUGCUAAACAGACUAACGCUAGUAGUAAUGCAUUAUCUGACUUUUUGUUAGACGUUGAUAGUGUUCGACAUGCUACACUGCAAAAUAGAGCUGCUAUAGAUUUUUUGUUAUUAGCACAUGGCCAUGGAUGUGAGGAUUUUGAGGGCAUGUGUUGUAUGAAUCUUUCUGAUCACUCAGAAUCAAUUCAUGCCAGUAUUCAACAGCUUAAAGAGGGAGUUUUUAAGCUCCGGCAGGAUGAUAGUUGGGAUUGGUUAGACAAACUUUUUGGAGGGUGGGGAUUGUCAGGAUGGUUAAGAAGCUUUGUCAAAAUGGCUGUGUAUGCUUUGGUUGUCUUUAUUCUUUUGUUAUUCCUUUUACCUUGCUUGUUACAAUGCCUACAGAAAUUAAUUGCGAGAUCUAUUAAAAAGGUUCUUGUUGUGCAAAAGGAAGGGGGAGAUGAAGGCCAGAGUUCAGCCAACCUCAGCAAAACUCCAAGUGUCGCACAACUGAUAAAAGAGGACGUGCUGGAACUCGUUGGCUACAAGCCUUGGGAGGAACAAGAUAACAAGAUUGUCUAGAAGGAACAGAGAGUGCUUGCUCUGUUGAGGAACACAGGCAGUAAAUUGUGUUGAAAAAAGGAUAUGCUAAUAAUUUUGUGAUUUGGGCAAGGAAGGUAUGUUAGUAUUAACCAAUGAGUAAAUGCCUAAUGUUUUAGAACUAGCCAAUUAGUAGAAGACACGCUGUCCUUGCUAUAGAUAUAAGGAACCUAAGAAAUCCUAAUAAAUCGACAUCUUGCUUGCA
rnacentral:lncRNA from 1 species